UCUGGAUGUUGCAGUGGUUGGUAAUGUGAGGGCACCCGUGGCUACCGGGACUAGAACAGUUCCCACCAUUGAACAUGAGUUCAUACCUCAUAAUCCUUCUUGACAAUACCAAGGGAAGGGAAGGGAAGACAACUGUUUAUUUUUAGCUUAUUUUUUCUUUUGUGUUAAUUUGUGCAUCCAAUUCUUCCUUUACUUUGUUUCCCCCUCCUUGAGAUCAUUUAUCUGUUUGAUCAUAUUCUUUUGUAACAUUGGAUGAACAGAACAGAGAAGGCAUUGAUAAUCUCUCUCCACAUGGGCCGAUUUCACUUCACCAUCUCUCAUUCUUCUAUGCUUUGUUGGGAUCAUAUAAUUAAUGAGUGAACAUUGCGGACAUCUUCCUUGGGAUUUAAAUAUAACAAAGUGGAAUGAAUGUAGUGUGCUCCAGCAAAGAUGUCUCCGGGAAUUAUGAUAGAGUCAUGGGUUUUGGAGGAGACACAACAUUUGGUGGAAAACUAGGUGAAAUUGUUCCAUUUGGUAGAAGCUGGAAACUAAUGAAUAAAUCCUGGCCGCCGAAGGAUUGGAAGCAGGGGCAAGUUCAGGAGAAUUCUCCACAAAUUCUUUAUUUGUUUGUA
rnacentral:lncRNA from 1 species